UGGCGCUACACUGUCAAUCGUCUUCGUUGAUCCCUGUUUGUAAGGAAUGUCACGGAUUGUGAAAAUUCUUCCAAACUUCCAAGGCACUUGAAAAUUAAGCUGCCGAAUGUGACUGUGGUAUUUGUCGCGAGGGGGCAGUGCUGUCAGGUGUGUCUAAAAUGGCGGGUGUGCUGUUCGAGGAUAUUUUCAACGUGAAAGACAUCGAUCCAGAGGGGAAAAAGUUUGACAGAGUGAGCAGGCUCCACUGCGAGUCCGAGUCCUUCAAGAUGGAUUUGAUCCUGGACAUAAACAGCUGGCUCUACCCUAUGGAGAUCGGUGACAAAUUUCGUUUGGUACUCGCGACGACCUUGAGAGAGGAUGGUUAUCCUGACGGUGGGGAGUGGAACGCGACGGAACAGGAAGGUGGCUCCAGGGCAGAUAGUUUUGAGUACGUGAUGUCUGGUAAGGUUUACCGAAUCGAAGGUGACGAGGCUAGCAACGAACCCAGCAGCAGGCUGGUCGACCGUGUGGACGUUGUUCGAGGAGAAAAGAGAGGCGGUGGAAGGUGGCCUCCUAUAGUUCUCCCUCUCUUCAGUCCGACAGAGAGGCGAGUUCUGUGCGGAGCGUAGAGGCGAACCGUGUGCGUCGGAGGAGGACGAGGGAGAGAGCGAGAGAGGGUUAAGCCGGGACGGACGGAGGAGGAGAGGUGACGCGAGAGACAGGGACAAACGGGCCGCGACCGAGAAAACGACGCAGGAGCGCGCAGGUGCGCUUUCCUCGCGCGGUAUACCUUGUUGUUCUACGAGACAACGAGAGAUCUGCCUACGUGUCUUUCGGUGGACUUCUGAUGAGGCUACAGGGUGACGCGAACAAUCUACACGGCUUCGAGAUCGAUCAACACAU